GCUGGGGUUUCUUUCUGAGGUGAAUCCCAGGCACUAGGACACAUCUGGUUAAGAGCAUUUGGUCUGUGCCCGGAAAUACAGAGUUCAGAAGAGUCUCACGGUGAUCUGAGAAUCCUGAGCAGAAGUUUGAACGUCACCCAGCUUUC
rnacentral:lncRNA from 1 species